rnacentral:rRNA from 1 species
CUACUGGGGUAUCUAAUCCUGUUUGCUCCCCACGCUUUCGCACCUCAGCGUCAGUAUCGAGCCAGUGAGCCGCCUUCGCCACUGGUGUUCUUCCGAAUAUCUACGAAUUUCACCUCUACACUCGGAGUUCCACUCACCUCUCUCGAACUCAAGACUACUAGUAUCAAAGGCCGUUCCGGGGUUGAGCCCCGGGAUUUCACCUCUGACUGGGUAAUCCGCCUACGCGCGCUUUACGCCCAGUAAUUCCGAACAACGCUAACCCCCUCCGUAUUACCGCGGCUGCUGGCAC